UGAGUAACACGUGAGUGACCUGCCUUUUAGACUGGAACAACUUACCGAAAGGUGAGCUAAUGCCGGAUGAGUUAUAUAAGUGCAUGUUUAUAUAGGAAAAGUUGGGGAGACCUGACGCUGAAAGAUGGACUCGCGCCCAUUAGCUAGUUGGUAGGGUAAUGGCCUACCAAGGCGACGAUGGGUAGCCGGCCUGAGAGGGUGGCCGGCCACACUGGGACUGAGACACGGCCCAGACUCCUACGGGAGGCAGCAG
rnacentral:rRNA from 1 species